ACGCUAGCUACAGGCUUAACACAUGCAAGUCGAGGGGCAGCAUGGUCUUAGCUUGCUAAGGCCGAUGGCGACCGGCGCACGGGUGAGUAACACGUAUCCAACCUGCCGUCUACUCUUGGACAGCCUUCUGAAAGGAAGAUUAAUACAAGAUGGCAUCAUGAGUCCGCAUGUUCACAUGAUUAAAGGUAUUCCGGUAGACGAUGGGGAUGCGUUCCAUUAGAUAGUAGGCGGGGUAACGGCCCACCUAGUCUUCGAUGGAUAGGGGUUCUGAGAGGAAGGUCCCCCACAUUGGAACUGAGACACGGUCCAAACUCCUACGGGAGGCAGCAGUGAGGAAUAUUGGUCAAUGGGCGAGAGCCUGAACCAGCCAAGUAGCGUGAAGGAUGACUGCCCUAUGGGUUGUAAACUUCUUUUAUAAAGGAAUAAAGUCGGGUAUGGAUACCCGUUUGCAUGUACUUUAUGAAUAAGGAUCGGCUAACUCCGUGCCAGCAGCCGCGGUAAUACGGAGGAUCCGAGCGUUAUCCGGAUUUAUUGGGUUUAAAGGGAGCGUAGAUGGAUGUUUAAGUCAGUUGUGAAAGUUUGCGGCUCAACCGUAAAAUUGCAGUUGAUACUGGAUAUCUUGAGUGCAGUUGAGGCAGGCGGAAUUCGUGGUGUAGCGGUGAAAUGCUUAGAUAUCACGAAGAACUCCGAUUGCGAAGGCAGCCUGCUAAGCUGCAACUGACAUUGAGGCUCGAAAGUGUGGGUAUCAAACAGGAUUAGAUACCCUGGUAGUCCACACGGUAAACGAUGAAUACUCGCUGUUUGCGAUAUACAGCAAGGCGGCCAAGCGAAAGCGUUAAGUAUUCCACCUGGGGAGUACGCCGGCAACGGUGAAACUCAAAGGAAUUGACGGGGGCCCGCACAAGCGGAGGAACAUGUGGUUUAAUUCGAUGAUACGCGAGGAACCUUACCCGGGCUUAAAUUGCAGAUGAAUUACGGUGAAAGCCGUAAGCCGCAAGGCAUCUGUGAAGGUGCUGCAUGGUUGUCGUCAGCUCGUGCCGUGAGGUGUCGGCUUAAGUGCCAUAACGAGCGCAACCCUUGUUGUCAGUUACUAACAGGUUCCGCUGAGGACUCUGACAAGACUGCCAUCGUAAGAUGUGAGGAAGGUGGGGAUGACGUCAAAUCAGCACGGCCCUUACGUCCGGGGCUACACACGUGUUACAAUGGGGGGUACAGAGGGCCGCUACCACGCGAGUGGAUGCCAAUCCCCAAAACCUCUCUCAGUUCGGACUGGAGUCUGCAACCCGACUCCACGAAGCUGGAUUCGCUAGUAAUCGCGCAUCAGCCACGGCGCGGUGAAUACGUUCCCGGGCCUUGUACACACCGCCCGUCAAGCCAUGGGAGCCGGGGGUACCUGAAGUGCGUAACCGCGAGGAGCGCCCUAGGGUAAAACUGGUGAA
rnacentral:rRNA from 1 species